AUGGAAACUUUUAAGUUUAACACAUUAGGAAUCUUGAUGUAUUUUUUUUUUAAUUCAGACUUCAAAGCAUUUUUAAUCAGGCUGGUAAUCUGUAAUACUACAAGAUAUCAUCAAGAUCACAAUAGUAUAUGUAUUCUGUGUUAUGUUGAGCUUUGAGUCACACUGAGAGAAUGUGGAAGAAGUUAUAGGAAAAGUAAUCAUCAUUGAAACGGUUAUAUAAUUGUGUUUCUAAGAAUAAAUUAGGUUUUUUGAAAGAAAUGUAUAACUUGGUAUAAAAUGACUUGAAAACCAUUAUUUAUUAGAAAGCACUAUUAUUUUGUCAGGUAUCUUCAGAUAUUUCUAGGCUAUGCAUGAAAUUUUAUUUUUAUACUUUGACCUGUUUAUUUUCCUUAUUCAUCAUAUUCAGUGAAUUUCGAAUAGUUGAUUAGAGCAAUAAAUGAAUUUUAGUAUGAACAAAAUGUUGAGUGCAUUAUCAGCAGGCUUUCUUAUGUAGCGAGUGCUGAAUUGACAUCCAGUACUUAGUUCACUAAGUGAUCAACACUUUAAAUAUGAGAGGAAAGUCAAGAUAGUGAAAGAGGGGCUAAAAAGGGAGAGAAUAGUUUUCAAGAAACUACUUAGAUGUAAACGAUACAUGCACUCUUGCUUGAGGAUUUUUGAUGAAGCAUCUUAUUUGCAAAAAAAAAAUUAGUGCCAUAUUUUUCCUCUGAAAACUUAAUUUUAACAAGUCACGAUGUUUCGAAAGAUUUUUGGAAAAGAUAUUCUGAUUAGACCAGCUGUUGGUUUUAUUUGGGGGCCUGGAAAAUGAGAGUGAUUGCACCGGUCAAAUUGUGUAUUUGGUGUUUAGGCCCGUUCCAUGAUGGCUAGGGCGACUUCAGCGUUUCACGUGCCACCGCAGUAAGAAACCCUCCUUUCUGAAAGCAAGUCAGGUGCCAGAGAGCCCUUUCCGCCCCGAGGUAGGGGAGAGAAAGGAGAGCUUCACUCACCUCUGCUGACCUCUGCUCUAAGUCAGUCAUCCUUAGCCCCCUACAUUCCAAAGGGUUUCCCCAGCUCCAGAGCCCACCCGUCGGAACAGUGGCUUUCAGACAUCAUCUGUCAGACACUCUUUUCCCCACAUGGUCAUAUUUCUCUGCAAUUAAAGAAGAACUAGGGUUUUCUUUUCCUGCGUAAAGACCAAUUGGUAUGAUGUUAUCAAAUAAAAGAGUGCACUGUAUUAGCAAAUGCCACAUUAUGUUUUAAUUCUGUCCUUGCUAGAUUCUCCUUUAUCAAAACCAUUUCUGCCUCUCACCUAGGCAAUGCACUUAAAUUAACAUUUUUAUAGGGAUUUUAUGCAAUGUGCAUGUUGUAAAUUUCCUAACUGGGCCUAAUUUCAUUCAGUAUUUUCAGAGUAGUUACAGGAAAGCUGUCUAACUGCAAAGCACUAUAAAAAUAUUAACUGGACUGUUAAUUAAAGUUCCCCAUUAGUGCCAUUUCUAGCUGUGGCAAAGCGCAGGUCUCUCUCUAGCCUCCCUGGGGCCCCUGCUCGCUAUGAUGUCAGUGCAGCCGCUGAAGAGAACGUUGGUGUAUGAUAGUGUGCAGCCGUGUUAGGUGUUCACCAUAGUUCGUCCUUUAUUUAAAAAGGAGAGAGUACAGAACAGAGAUAGUGGAAAUAAUAAGUAACAGAUUUUAAAAUAAUACCCAUGGCUCAGUAUUUUCUGUUCAGUAAUAAAAAUAAAUUGGUAAAAUGCAUUGUUUUUUAAAAUGAGUAUUCGGCUUACCUAGCUUCCUGAAAAUUUGAGAACUUUGAUCUUAAAGGUGGAACAAGACACUUCCUAACAUGAAAUGGCCAACCGUACUAAUUGAUACUUUAUUCUGGACAAUCUUGUUUAUGCCACUAGUGCUCACUCGGCUAAAUGCCUUAAUGAAGGUGGGUGGUUUUCACCUAGAAGAUAAGAAAACAUGCUUAAGAAAUGACUAGAAAUGCUAUUUAUUGCCCUCUGAUAAAGGACAACUCACUCUCAUUCUUAAAAUUUCAUAUCAAAAUUAGCUUGUUCUUAGGUACACACACACACCAGUAAUCUAUGUGAAUUAAAUACUAAUAUUAAUAUACCAUUUAAAUUGGGUCCAGAAAGAUGACAUAUUGAAAGAUCACUCCAAAAUUCAUUUUACUAGAAUUUUCUUGAUAACAGUAAAAUACAUGCUUAUACCGUGAAUAAACUAAGCUGUGGAUUUUUGUUCAUCAAAAUGAUUUUGUUAGUUUGAAAACUAAGUUAUCAUUGCACUUGAGUUAAUUCUUUUUCUUUUAACUUAUUUUUCUUUAUUAUAUGAAAAAACUGUUUUAAAGUACUGUAACUUCUGAAUUUUCAAUAAAAUACAAUUAUUUUGCUUGCAAAUGCCUUUUCAAAGGAAUUUGUCUUUUAUAAGGUUAAAUGAUACUGACAAGUAUCACAAGCUGAAAAUGGCAAUCAUAUUAUAGUCUCAUAAUAUUUUAAUCAGUCUUUGUGGUUAAUUCUUUGUCACGUGUGAUCUUCAAUGUUGGAAGUUGAUAUUAUGUACCUCUAAGAUUUGUGAGCAGAAAUUGAUGAAAAAUGAAGG
rnacentral:lncRNA from 1 species